GUGCUCCUUUCAGCAACACAUAUACUAAAAUUGGAAUGAUAUAGAGAAGAUUCAAAUGGCCCCUGUACAAGGAUGAUGUGCAAAUUUGUGACAUUCCAUAUUUUCAU
ensembl:snRNA U6 U6 spliceosomal RNA